UACGUAGGGGCUAGCGUUGUCCGGAUUUAUUGGGCGUAAAGAGCGCGUAGGCGGCCCGGUAAGUCCGCUGUAAAAGUCCAGGCUCAACCCUGGAAAGCCGGUGGAUACUGUCGGGCUCGAGUCCGGAAGAGGCGAGUGGAAUUCCUGGUGUAGCGGUGGAAUGCGCAGGAUAUCAGGAGGAACACCGAUGGCGAAGGCAGCUCGCUGGGACGGUACUGACGCUGAGGCGACGAAGCGUG
rnacentral:rRNA from 1 species